CUGAAAAGUCACGUCUUCCGGCGCUGAAUCUUCCGACAAAACUACGCCUUGUGUUUCUGUUUUGUCCAAUCAGAUAAUGUUUGAGAACUUAAAAGCACAGGAAGCGUACAUUGGGUCAUUUUUCUGUCUGAAUAUUUCGCUAACUUUGUCUAUUCGACUGCGGAAAUCCAGGACUAGAUGUGGAAAAUACAAACUCCCAGUUUUCUGCAAAUGCUUUAAAUUCUCCACUUGAGAAUUGAGGGCCAUUGUUCAACACCACUUCGUCUGGAAUUCCAUGUCUCGGAAAGAUGGAUUUGAGAGAAGUCACAACAUACUUGCUUGUUGUUUGUGUGAGUUUGACAAUCUCUGGAAACUUUGAAAAGUAAUCCACACACAGUAAAUAUUCACCUUGGCUGAAGUGAAACAAGUCUACUUCCACUUUUACCCGUGCACUGUCUGGAAUGUCAUGGAAGAUGAGUGGUUUUUUGGUGUUACUGCGUCAUUUUAUAUUUUUGGUCUAAAAACUAGACUUAUUUUCUUGGGUCGUUUUGCUCAGCAGGA